GACGUAGGGCGCGAGCGUUGUCCGGAUUUAUUGGGCGUAAAGAGCGUGUAGGCGGCUAGAUAGGUCCGUUGUGAAAACUCGAGGCUCAACCUCGAGACGUCGAUGGAAACCAUCUGGCUAGAGUCCGGAAGAGGAAAGUGGAAUUCCUGGUGUAGCGGUGAAAUGCGCAGAUAUCAGGAAGAACACCAAUGGCGAAGGCAGCUCUCUGGGACGGUACUGACGCUGAGACGCGAAAGCGUGGGGAGCGAACAGG
rnacentral:rRNA from 1 species